CAGUACCUAACGUAACGUCCGUUCAUUUAAAAAGCCUUCAGGUGCUGCUGUCGUCCCAUUGAGGGAACCGACGUUAUCUGUCAGCGUAAAGAAAUUACCGUUAUUUGCGUUCAAACACAGGUGGCUAUGUAAAAAAAAAAAGUCAGGGUUUCUUUUAUAAAAAGAAGAUGGAAUUUGAGACGACGGAGACCGCACGCUCGACACAGAGUCGUCACGAGAAAAGUUUGGGGCUCCUCACCAUUAAGUUUGUCAGCCUGCUACAAGAAGCCAAGGACGGCGUCCUUGAUUUGAAAGUGGCUGCAGACAGCUUGGCAGUGAAGCAGAAGAGGAGGAUAUAUGAUAUCACCAAUGUACUGGAAGGUGUGGGGCUGAUUGAGAAGAAAAACAAGAAUAUAAUCCAGUGGAGGGGUGAGAACAUAGGCAGCCAAACUGAGGAGGGGCUUGAGCAGGUAAAAGUUUUAAAGGCCCAAAUUGCUGAGCUGGAGGCCCAAGAGAAAGAGCUGGACAACCAGAAGGCCUGGCUGGAGGAGAACAUCAAACACCUGAACCAUGAUCCCAUUACCAGCACUUAUAAAUUUGUGACACAUGAAGACAUCUGCAGUGCUUUUAGUGGAGAAACCCUUCUAGCUAUUGUGGCUCCUGCUGGGACUCAGCUGGAGGUGCCGCUGCCAGAAAUGGGUCAGAGUGGUCAAAAGAAGUACCAGGUGAACCUGCGCAGCCACUGUGCUCCCAUCCAGGUCAUGCUAAUCAACAGAGAUUCAGACUCCAGACUACCUGUGGUCUUUUCUGUGCCACCCACCAAUGACAUCUCUCAGAUACCAACUCCACCCAGCACUCCCGCCAGCCAGCAGAGAUUCCCCCUUUCAAAUUCCACUUCCAACAUCACCACGACCUCCUUCUACUGCAGCCAGGAGUCUCUCUGCUCAGACCAGCAGAUGGUGCUGCCAGAGCAUGAUGAUGUGCUGACCCCAUCAGCCACCCCUCCUGACAUGCAAAUGGUGUGUCACAGUCGAUCAGCAUUAGAACAGCAGCAGAUGGACUUGGUGGACCAAGAGUUCCAGUCUGUCCUGGAUGUGAACAGCCUGCUAAAAUUUAGCACUGCUGGAGACCACAUGAAGGAUGACAGAGAGGGAGCUGUUGACCUGAUUGAUGAACUCAUGUCUGCUGAUGGCCUGAAGCAUCACUUAUAAGUCUGUUUUAGCUACUGGAGGUCAAACAGAAAACAGAUGAUUAACAGAUGAUCUACAAGACUAAAAGUGCAGAAUUAAUGCGAACAUGCUGAUGCUUACCAGGUAUAGACUACAGCUUCAACCUGGACAACAAUGAGGGAGUGUGUGACCUGUUUGACGUACAGAUCCUCAAUUACUAAUGGCUGACGAUGACUCUAAGACUUUGAGAAGCACUUUUUGCCUCGUUAAAACCAGAUUGUCCCAUUGUGUUAAAAUUACACAGCUGAUACUUUGAUGUACCACUGUCAGCUUUAAAAAAAAAACAAAAAACUUUACUACCAUUGCCAGCAAAAGAAAGUGCCUGAAUUAAUGAAUCUUAAGGUAUUUACAAAGUCAUGAGCCAUGAUGUCUCAAGUAAGCAGAGACGAAUCCUUCAGAUUCCUGCUGCACUUUUGUAUCUUUGCAUUUUUCCAUGUCCAAUGGAAAGCCUGAAACUUGAACACGACUGUUUACUUUGCGCAGCUCAUCAGCAUUUGGGACUGUAACAGUUCUGUAACAGUGUGUUGAACUUUACAGUAACUUGUAACUUUUCAGUAUUCGCUUCUUUGAUGAUCCAGUUCAAGGAGUGUAAGUUGUUUUCAUGCAGUGCACCUUCACCUAACCAAUUUUCCAGUUAGAUUUCAACCACCAUUUUGUAUUUAUGAAUGAAUGUUUUGGAUACACUUUGUUCACCUUGUUUCUGGGGAAAAAAUGCCAGAAAAAUGUAUUUUCUAAAUUAUUGUGAUACUGACAUUUUAGGCCUUGGUUUAUCCUGUCAUUAGUUAAAUAAUUUAAUAUUUUUACUUGAUGGAAAAGAACUUUAGUUCAGGAUGGUUGAAACUGAAGUUAGUUGACUGCCUUAAUCAUUUAAUUAGUAUAAUUUUCUGUAUUUCUGUUCUAAAAAUAAGGUUGGUGAGUAGCAUUUUUUUUUUUGUAUAUUUCAUAUUUUUCUUUUUUUUUUUUUUUAUACUAAAUCUUGUUUAUGUUCUAGUUCUAUUUGCAAAAGAAAUGUAUAGAAGGAAAACAACCAAAAAUCAUUCCAAUGUGAACUUUCAGUCUGAAGGGAGUUGUCACGAUUGUCUCGAAUCACACAGAAGGUAUGCAACAGUUAACCCCC